CACGUAGGGCGCAAGCGUUGUCCGGAAUUAUUGGGCGUAAAGCGCUCGUAGGCGGUCUGUUGCGUCCGCUUUGAAAACUCGGGGCUUAACCCCGAGCCUGCAGUGGAUACGGGCAGACUAGAGGUAGGUAGGGGAGAAUGGAAUUCCCGGUGUAGCGGUGAAAUGCGCAGAUAUCGGGAGGAACACCGGUGGCGAAGGCGGGUCUCUGGGCCGUACCUGACGCUGAGGAGCGAAAGCGUGGGGAGCGAACAGG
rnacentral:rRNA from 1 species